UAAAGAUUUUAAGGGCGUACGGUGGAUGCCUUGGCGAUAUCAGCCGAAGAAGGACGCGGUAAGCUGCGAUAAGCUACGGAGAGGUGCAAGCAACCUUUGACCCGUAGAUUUCCGAAUGGGGGAACCCGGCAGUGGUUAUGCACUGUCACCCAUACCUUUGAGUAUGAGGAGGGCACCUGGGGAACUGAAACAUCUAAUUACCCAGAGGAAGAGUAAUCAAACGAGAUUUUCUUAGUAGCGGCGAGCGAACGGGAAAGAGGCCAAACCGGAGCGGGCAACCGCACCGGGGUUGAGGACAGUCAUCAAGUGUAAAUGAGGUAGAAGAAUCGAGUUGGAAAGCUCAGCCGCAGAAGGUGAAAGCCCUGUAAUCGAAACCUUGCAUACAUGGGACUGUAUCCAGAGUACCACGAGACACGUGAAACCUUGUGGGAAGCAGGGGGGACCACCCUCCAAGCCAAAAUACUGAUAUCGACCGAUAGCGCAUAGUACCGUGAGGGAAAGGUGAAAAGAACCCCUGGCGGGGAGUGAAAGAGAACCUGAAACCGUAUGUCUACAAACAGUCGAAGUCUGUAUAUAUAUCAGGACGACGGCGUGCCUAUUGAAGAAUGAACCGACGAGUUACUGUUGCUAGCGAGGUUAAGUGGAAAACAUGGAGCCGCAGCGAAAGCGAGUCUGAACAGGGCGUUCAGUUAGUAAUAGUAGACCCGAAACCGUAGUGAUCUAUCCAUGGCCAGGUUGAAGCACAGGUAAAAUUGUGUGGAGGACCGAACUCGUGAGCGUUGAAAAGCUUUGGGAUGAGUUGUGGAUAGGGGUGAAAUGCCAAUCGAACACGGAGAUAGCUGGUUCUCCCCGAAAUAGCUUUAGGGCUAGCCUCGAGGUUGAGAGUAUAGGCGGUAGAGCACUGAUCGGGCUAGGGGCCAUACCGGUUACCGAACCUAGUCAAACUACGAAUGGCUAUACUUAUACUCGGGAGUCAGACAGUGAAUGAUAAGGUCCAUUGUCAAGAGGGAAACAGCCCAGAACACCGACUAAGGUCCCCAAUGUCAUACUAAGUGGCGAAGGAUGUGGAAUUUCCAAAACAACCAGGAUGUUGGCUUAGAAGCAGCCACCAUUUAAAGAGUGCGUAAUAGCUCACUGGUCGAGAGACUCUGCGCCGAAAAUGUCCGGGGCUAAAGUAUGAAACCGAAGUCGUGUCAUAUGCAGCAAUGUAUAUGGGUAGGGGAGCGUUCUCAUCGGAUUGAAGCAGUACCGUAAGGAGUUGUGGACUGGUGAGAAGUGAGAAUGUCGGUAUGAGUAGCGAAAAGAAUGGUGAGAAUCCAUUCCACCGAAAGCCUAAGGGUUCCUGAGCAACGAUCGUCGUCUCAGGGUAAGUCGGGACCUAAGCCGAGGCGGAAAAGCGUAGGCGAUGGACAACAGGUUGAAAUUCCUGUACCGGUGUGAAUCGUUUGAUCGAAGGAGUGACACAGUAAGGUAGGUCAGCACGCGAUUGGAAGUGCGUGUUUAAGCAUGUAGGUUGAGUUAUAGGCAAAUCCGUAACUCUAAAAGCUGAGAUGUGAUGACGAGCUGUUUACAGCGAAGUGAUUGAUCCUACACUGUCGAGAAAAGCUUCUAGGUAGAGACACAUCGCCCGUACCAAAACCGACACAGGUAGGCGGGGAGAGAAUCCUAAGGUGCGCGGGAAAACCCUCGUUAAGGAACUCGGCAAAAUGCCUCCGUAACUUCGGGAAAAGGAGGACUCAUGUAGUGUGAAGGGCAGUAACGCGUGGAGCAUGAAUGAGUGGCACAAGAGAGGCGCAAGCGACUGUUUACCACAAACACAGGUGCCUGCUAAAGCGAAAGCUGAUGUAUAGGUGCUGACACCUGCCCGGUGCUGGAAGGUUAAGAGGAGGGGUUAGACUUUGGUCGAAGCUCUGAAUUGAAGCCCCAGUAAACGGCGGCCGUAACUAUAACGGUCCUAAGGUAGCGAAAUUCCUUGUCGGGUAAGUUCC
rnacentral:rRNA from 1 species